GUUUAGGUAGCUCAGUCGGUAGAGCAAAGGACUGAAAAUCCUUGUGUCAAUGGUUCGAUUCCAUUUCUAGACAACA
rnacentral:tRNA from 1 species